UACGGAGGGUGCGAGCGUUGUCCGGAAUCAUUGGGCGUAAAGGGCGCGUAGGUGGGUCUUUAAGUCAGGGGUGAAAUCCUGGAGCUCAACUCCAGAACUGCCUUUGAUACUGAAGAUCUUGAGUUCGGGAGAGGUGAGUGGAACUGCGAGUGUAGAGGUGAAAUUCGUAGAUAUCGGGAGGAACACCUGCGGCGAAGGCGGCGAUCUGGGUCGAUACUGACGCUGAGGUGCGAAAGCGUGGGGAGCAAACAGG
rnacentral:rRNA from 1 species